GUAAGCCGAAGGGCAGCUACCGGCCCCCCACCACACACUCAUUGUGUGGGGGGGCUGAGGAAACUCCCCCCAUCAUACAGUAUCCACGGUGCCGCAAGGCAUCAGCCGAGAGGCUGGGCUCUGGAGCAGAAACGACACGUCCCCCAUUUGGAUGAUAAUGAGACCCCAACCACUAUAAAGGGGUUGAUUGACAGUGGGGGGAUCGGUGAAACGGCCAACCCGUGGGAUGCAAGGGCAAAUACUGCCUAUGAGUACUGUACGAGGCAGAGGUAGCCCGCCUAGAUAAAUGCUGCCAUGAACAGAAGGGGGGUUACUCUCGGCAUGC
rnacentral:RNase_P_RNA from 2 species